rnacentral:rRNA from 1 species
AUGACUUAUGCGUUCUGUUAUCAUUUCCAACUGGAGGAUCCCUUAAUCCAAUUAAAGGAGGAUUAUAAAUGGAUAGAUGUCUUCGAUUUCCACAGAAGAUUGGGAAUCGAUGGAUUUUCAUUAGGAUAUAUUUUAUUGGCAGGAUUUAUCACUACUUUAGCUACUUUAGCAGCUUGGCCAAUUACACGGAAUUCACGAUUAUUCUGUUUUCUGAUGCUCGCAAUGUAUAGUGGCGGUUCCAUUUUUUUCUUAAUCGGAGUUCUGGGUAUGGGCUUAUAUGGUUCCAAUGAACCAGGAUUAGAUUUGGAAAGAUUAACUAAUCAAUCAUACCCUGCAACGUUGGAAAUACUUUUAUAUUUUGGCUUCCUUAUUGCUUGUGCUGUCAAAUUGUCGAUUAUGCCCCUACAUAUGUGGUUACCAGAUACCCAUGGGGAAGCACAUUAUAGUACAUAUAUGCUUUUAGCGGGAAUAUUAUUAAAUAUGGGAGCAUAUGGAUUGAUUCGGAUCAACAUGGAAUUGUUACCUCAUGCUCAUUAUUUAUUUUCACCUUGGUUAGUAAUAAUAGGAGCGGUCCAAAUAAUCUAUGCAACUUCAACUUCUCUUGGAAUUGGUUCCAUAACCAACAUUGGACUCAAUGGAGCUAUUUUACAAAUAUUAUCCCAUGGAUUUAUCGGUGCUACACUUUUUUUCUUGGCAGGAACCGCUUCUGAUAGAAUGUGUCUUGUUUAUCUCAAAGAACUGGGGGUAAUAUCUAUCCCAAUGCCUAAAAUUUUUACCAUGUUUAGUAGCUUUUCGCUUCUCUUACCUUACCAGGAAUGA